CCCGCACAAGCGGAGGAGCAUGUGGUUUAAUUCGAUGAUACGCGAGGAACCUUACCUGGGCUCGAACGUAAGAUGACUGUAGGUGAAAGCUUACAUCUCUUCGGAGCAUUUUACGAGGUGCUGCAUGGUUGUCGUCAGCUCGUGCCGUGAGGUGUCGGGUUAAGUCCCAUAACGAGCGCAACCCUACCUUUAGUUGCCAUCAGGUAAUGCUGGGGACUCUAAAGGAACUGCCUACGCAAGUAGUGAGGAAGGCGGGGAUGACGUCAAAUCAGCACGGCCCUUACGUCCAGGGCUACACACGUGCUACAAUGGCCGAUACAGAGGGCAGCUACCUGGUGACAGGAUGCAAAUCUCCAAAGUCGGUCUCAGUUCGGAUCGGAGUCUGCAACCCGACUCCGUGAAGUUGGAUUCGCUAGUAAUCGCGCAUCAGCCAUGGCGCGGUGAAUACGUUCCCGGGCCUU
rnacentral:rRNA from 1 species